rnacentral:lncRNA from 1 species
CUAGCUGUGCUUGGUGACUUGGCCCUGUAGUCCCAGUUGCUUGGGAGGCUGAGGCAGGCGAAUCACUUGAGGUCAGGAGUUCAAGACCAGCCUGGCCAACAUGUGAAACCCCAUCUCUACUAAAAAUACAAAAACUAACCGGGCAUGGUGGCGGGCACCUGUAAUCCCAGCUACUUGGGAGGCUGAGGCAGGAGAAUCUCUUGAACCUGGGAGGUUGCAGUGAGCUGAAAUCACACCACUGCACUUCAGCCUGGGUGACAGAGCAAAACUCCACCUCAAAAAAAAAAAAAAGAUUCUACUUUUAGAAAUUCAGACCUAGAUAGAUUUGCAUUUGGAUAACAAAUCCCUACCUAUAGCCAUGUGGAAGCAGCUUGUCACUGUAUUUUAACUGUGUAACAAUUAUUGAAGGCGAAAAUAGAAGUUGGGUCAUCUUUGAACACCUACCUUUUAUCAAUGAAUAUUUUUAGACUGUUCUUCAGUAUCUGAGUCAGAGUUUAUUGUAAUUUGUUAUUUACACCAAGGUGGCAUCUUAGUCUACCUUCAGUGAGACUUGCGUUUCAGGGGAGGGGCGUAUGUGCAUCCUCGGUCUCAGUUAUGUAAACGGUCUGAUCUGUAAAAUAGUGGUAGCACAUGCCAUGUGGGAUAGUUGGUGGAGAUGAUAGAUGGAGUUAAGCACAGGGCCCAGCCUGUCAGCAGUAGCUACUAUUAUUGUUGCCCAUUUCCCCUGCAACUGAGGUGAGAGGUUUUCCUGAGUUUGAAGCUGACUGGCCCACAGUUAAACGUAACAGACCAGU